AGCGAACGCUGGCGGCAGGCUUAACACAUGCAAGUCGAGCGGGCAUCUUCGGAUGUCAGCGGCAGACGGGUGCGUAACACGUGGGAACGUACCCUUCGGUUCGGAACAACUCUGGGAAACUGGAGCUAAUACCGGAUACGCCCUUAUGGGGAAAGGUUUACUGCCGAAGGAUCGGCCCGCGUCUGAUUAGCUAGUUGGUGGAGUAACGGCCUACCAAGGCGACGAUCAGUAGCUGGUCUGAGAGGAUGAUCAGCCACACUGGGACUGAGACACGGCCCAGACUCCUACGGGAGGCAGCAGUGGGGAAUAUUGGACAAUGGGCGCAAGCCUGAUCCAGCCAUGCCGCGUGAGUGAUGAAGGCCUUAGGGUUGUAAAGCUCUUUUGUCCGGGACGAUAAUGACGGUACCGGAAGAAUAAGCCCCGGCUAACUUCGUG
rnacentral:rRNA from 1 species